rnacentral:rRNA from 1 species
AUUGAACGCUGGCGGCAGGCCUAACACAUGCCAGUCGAGCGGAUGAAGGGAGCUUGCUCCUGGAUUCAGCGGCGGACGGGUGAGUAAUGCCUAGGAAUCUGCCUGGUAGUGGGGGAUAACGUCCGGAAACGGGCGCUAAUACCGCAUACGUCCUGAGGGAGAAAGUGGGGGAUCUUCGGACCUCACGCUAUCAGAUGAGCCUAGGUCGGAUUAGCUAGUUGGUGGGGUAAAGGCCUACCAAGGCGACGAUCCGUAACUGGUCUGAGAGGAUGAUCAGUCACACUGGAACUGAGACACGGUCCAGACUCCUACGGGAGGCAGCAGUGGGGAAUAUUGGACAAUGGGCGAAAGCCUGAUCCAGCCAUGCCGCGUGUGUGAAGAAGGUCUGCGGAUGGUAAAGCACUUUAAGUUGGGAGGAAGGGCAGUAAGUUAAUACCUUGCUGUUUGGACGUUACCAACAGAAUAAGCACCGGCUAACUUCGU